UGUUCAGAAAAAAAAACAAAAAUGACUCUGUACAAAGCAUUAGUUAAGCACACUAGCUUUAUAUUAAAUAUAUGGACUGCAGAGUAUGGGCAAUGAUGAAGACCAAUAAAAAAGGUUAUGGUUUUUGAAAAAUAAAAAAAUAUUGAGAAAAAUACUUAUAUUCUUUCCAAGAAUGCCCGAUGGGUAGGCUACUAAUGUAGGUGAAAAAUUGGGAAGGUAGGAUAUAUAUAGAAGAAUUUAAUUUUUAUCUGUACAUAACAAUAAACUGUUCCUAAAGUGGACAAAUGAGUCUGAACGAAGUUUC